rnacentral:rRNA from 1 species
AUGAACGUGGCGCUCAUGCUACGUUGGGUUUGGCGGAUCUUGCGGGGAGAUGGGGGGCUGUGGUUGCAGCUGGUUGAGGCCAAAUACUUGCAGGGCCAGCCCCUCUUGGUGUGUUCUCAGUCGGCUGGUUCUCAAUUCUGGAAAUCUAUUCAGGCCAUCAAGGAAGAGAUUAGGUUGGGUGUGCGCUUCUCGGUCGGCAAUGGGUCUGGGACCCAAUUUUGGUUGGACCCCUAG